UGCAUAUCAAUAAGCGGAGGAAAAGAAACCAACAGGGAUUGCCUCAGUAACGGCGAGUGAAGCGGCAAAAGCUCAAAUUUGAAAUCUAGCACCUUCGGUGUUCGAGUUGUAAUUUGAAGAUGGUAACCUUGGGUUUGGCUCUUGUCUAUGUUCCUUGGAACAGGACGUCAUAGAGGGUGAGAAUCCCGUCUGAUGAGAUGCCCAUUCCUAUGUAAGGUGCUAUCGAAGAGUCGAGUUGUUUGGGAAUGCAGCUCUAAGUGGGUGGUAAAUUCCAUCUAAAGCUAAAUAUUGGCGAGAGACCGAUAGCGAACAAGUACAGUGAUGGAAAGAUGAAAAGAACUUUGAAAAGAGAGUGAAAAAGUACGUGAAAUUGUUGAAAGGGAAGGGCAUUAGAUCAGACUUGGUGUUUUACGAUUAUCUUCUCUUCUUGAGUUGUGCACUCGUAUUUCACUGGGCCAGCAUCGAUUCGGAUGGCAAGAUAAUGGCAGUUGAAUGUGGCUUCACUUCGGUGGAGUGUUAUAGCUUCUGCUGAUAUUGCCUGUCUGGAUCGAGGGCUGCGUCUUUUGACUAGGAUGCUGGCGUAAUGAUCUAAUGCCGCCCGUCUUGA
rnacentral:rRNA from 1 species